rnacentral:rRNA from 1 species
UGGGGAAUAUUGCACAAUGGGGGAAACCCUGAUGCAGCGACGCCGCGUGAAGGAAGAAGUAUUUCGGUAUGUAAACUCUAUCAGCAGGGAAGAUAAUGACGGUACCUGACUAAGAAGC